rnacentral:miRNA from 1 species
AGGUGGGUUUUAGAACACACCUUAAGGUGUGUUUAACACACCUUAAGGUGUGUUAAACACACCUUAAGUUGUGUUACAAAACACG